AAAAACGAUAAAUAUAUCCUUAAAUAUAAAUGGUAUGCAGAUAUUCUCCAUCAUAUUUUUGGGACAUAUAUUUUUACCGUUCAAAAAUUAAAGCAUAUAUACCAUUUUAUACUAAUGGAUAUAGACGUGUCAUAAUCUUAUCUACCGCCCCAACAUUGGAUCGAUGGAUAAGAUUGUGCCAAGUUUCCUAAUUUAACCAUUCGUUAGAGUGAAGGGCAGAAAUUUUCGACUUUUUAAAUGUCAGGGACAUCAAUGUCCCAAAAGUAUGACGGAG
rnacentral:misc_RNA from 1 species